rnacentral:rRNA from 1 species
UACGGGGGGGGCAAGCGUUGUUCGGAAUUACUGGGCGUAAAGGGCUCGUAGGUUGCCAACUAAGUCGGACGUGAAAUCCCUCAGCUUAACUGGGGAACUGCGUCCGAUACUGGAUGGCUUGAGUUUGGGAGAGGGAUGCGGAAUUCCAGGUGUAGCGGUGAAAUGCGUAGAUAUCUGGAGGAACACCGGUGGCGAAGGCGGCAUCCUGGACCGGUAUUGACGCUGAUGCGCGAAAGCCAGGGGAGCAAACGGG